rnacentral:rRNA from 1 species
UACGGAGGGUGCAAGCGUUGUUCGGAUUUACUGGGCGUAAAGCGCGCGCAGGUGGGUGAACAAGUCGGAAGUGAAAUCUUGAGGCUCAACCUCGAGGCUGCUCCCGAAACUGUUCGUCUAGGGACUGGUAGAGGCUGGUAGAAUUCCCGGUGUAGCGGUGGAAUGCGUAGAGAUCGGGAAGAAUACCUGUGGCGAAGGCGGCCAGCUGGGCCAGAUCCGACACUGAGGCGCGAAAGCGUGGGGAGCAAACAGG